rnacentral:rRNA from 1 species
GAUGAACGCUAGCUACAGGCUUAACACAUGCAAGUCGAGGGACCGGCGCACGGGUGAGUAACACGUAUCCAACCUGCCCUUUAAUCGGGGAUAGCCUUUCGAAAGAAAGAUUAAUACCCGAUAUCAAAGAUGGGGAUGCGUUCCAUUAGGUUCUUGGUGAGGUAACGGCUCACCAAGCUUUCAAUGGAUAGGGGAUCGGCGAGGAAUGUCCCACACGUGUGAACUGAGCCACGGUCUAAAGUCCUACGGGAGGCAGCAGUGAGGAAUAUUGGUCAAUGGGCGCUAGCCUGAACCUGCCAAGUAGCGGGAAGGAUGAAGGCUUAUGGGUCGUAAACUUCUUUUAUAUAAGAAUAUGUAUUAUAUGAAUAAGGAUCGGCUAACUCCGUGCCAGCAGCCGCGGUAAUUC